rnacentral:lncRNA from 1 species
UGGCUGCUGUUGGAUGUACUUUUAUGUUAUCUUAACCGUUGUAGUACGUGUAAUUUGGAUCAUUUUAUUUAGUAGUUUUAUUAGUACGUUUGACUUGGAUAGAUGUAUUAUUUGGUAGGUUUUUGUUACUUCCGUGGGGAUGUCUUACUUGUAUGGUUUUACUUUUUCUCGGAUGGAUGUAUAAGGUUUGUAUGUGGUUUCUUUCACUUGUGUGAUCUCAGAUGUAUAUAAAGGCUUGUUUGGAC